CUUUCAAAACCCCAACAGCAGCCGUACUCUGCCAGUCAAACCCCUGACCUACAUGAUCAGCAUGAGCUCUUGUCCUAUCUUCAAAGAGGACUUCACGGGGUUCACUGGUCCGAGAAAUGGUGAUUCUUCUAACAUAUCAAGGAACUCUGGGAAAUAAUCACCAACUUCUUCAUCUACUGCUCCAACAAGACUUAUCUGCCGCAUAGGACCUGCUCGGGCCAAGUUCAACCAUGCACAUGACAACACCAAAGGAAAUGGCAAAACUUAAAGACAGAAGGAAAGGAGAAUCCAAGAUGACAUCAUGGAACAGAGCUGCUUACCUCUGGGCUUGUUACUUGAGAAAGAAACUUAUUUUGUCCUAGCUACUGUAUGUGCAAUCUCUUUGUUACGGUGGUUUAGCCUAUAUCUUGUAUACUUUGUACUAAGGGAGGCAAUACUCCAUAUUGCACAGAUGACACCUGGAGCAUUAUCUCCUGCUCUGGGCUAAAAAAAAAAAAAGUCUAUUACAAGAGCACACCCGAAAGAGAACAAUCAAGAUGAUUAGUGACUUGGAAAUCAUACAGAUUGGAGGAAGAGUGAUGAAAUUAAAAAUAUUUCAAAAGUAUUUGACUUGAAAUGAUUAAAGUGGGGACACAAUAAUCUUCAAAUACUUGGAAGCUUAUCACAGAAGAGUAGACUUAUAUAGCCUUAAAUAAAGAACAAGAAUUACAGGAAAGCCAGUAUCAUUCAUUUAAUAAAAGUUUACUGUAUAUUAUAUGCAGACACUGUCCUAAACACAGAUACAGCAAACCAGACCCAUCCUUGGCCCCUGGAAAUUUACAGUCUAGUAGAGAGAGGCAUAUACUAAACAAAUAUUUAAUUAUAAACUGUGACAAGUCUUCAGGCACUUGUAGGACACUAUAAAAGGGAACACGGGAUGCUGAUCUAGGGGAUAAACUGUUCCUCAAAGUAACACUGAAUUAAAAUUUGUAGAACAAGUUUAACGGAAAUAAAAUCCCUUAAGCAUCACCCUUUCCAGGGUCUAGAAAAAAGCUAGUGAUGCUAAACACAGAAAACAAAAGAGAAAAACGAAGAUGAGACUGGAGAAACAAGCUGUGGCUGGAUUAUGGAAAGCCUUGAAGACCACAUUAAGAAUUGGGGGAAUCACUGAAGGAUCUAAAGUAGUAAAAGGAAAGUUAAUAGAUUUGCCUUUGUUUUUUUAGGGGGUGUCGGGGGCUUGGGGGUUGUUUUUGUUUUCUCAACAGGACACUGAAAGAGAAAUGACUAGUUAGGAGGUUUCUGUAAUAUUCCAAAUAAGAAACAACCAACUAAGCUAAUAACAGUGGAGUUGAUUUUUUAAAGAUUUGAAAAAUAACCAUAAGAUAAAAUUGUAAGGACUUGGAGAAAGUUAGAUAUGAUAGAGAAAAGAAAGGAGUGUCAAGGAUGUCUUGCAGGUUCUGCCCUUUGCAACCACAUAGAGAAAGCACUCUUCCUACUGGAGGAGAGGACCAAGUUUGGGUGGGGAGGUGGUAUCUUCAGUUUGGGACAUAAUGAGCUUGAAGUGUGUAGUAGGCAAAAUAACGGCUCCCAAAGAUAUCCAGGUCUUCAUCCCUAGAACCUGUGACUGUUACCUUAUAUGGCAAAAGGACUUUUCAGCUGUGAAUAAAUUAAGAAUUUGGAGAUGGCAAGAUAUCCUGGGUUAUCCAGGUGAGCCCAAACGUAAUCACAGUUGUCAUAAGGAAGCAGAGGGAGAUUUCACCACAGAGAGAAGGUGACUUGGUGAUAGAAGCUGAGACUGUAUUGAUGCACUUUGAAGAUGGAGGAAGGGAACACAAGCCAGAAAAUAAAGAUGGCCACUAGAAGUGGCCGGGGGGGG